GCCUGGGUCAAUCUAUGACAAAAAAAAUUAGGGGCCACAAUUUCAGUUACCUCUUCUCUCACCUAAAUCCGCCACUAUCCCUUUCUCUGAGAAACCGCCGCUCCAAAUGAAUCUCAUCCGCCGCUCCUAGCUUUUUUUGGUUCUUCUCCCUCUCUUUUCCGAUGAAAAGGCCGCAACCCGACCCGACUAUCAUCUGUUAGUCAUCCCGACGCCUAACACUAUAUACUCUGUGGUGGAAGAAACUGAAUCGGAGCAUUCUAGCGGCGAGGACCAAAUCGACCACUCCUUACCACCGGAGAAGAAACCUUCGGUCGCGGUCGGCGCCCCCGUGAAACAAAGCAGACCGUCGGGAAGAAGAAAGAUAUAAACCCAUCGAAGGACAUGCAAGCCGAGGGAGAUUAGGUACUGAAAUUGUCGAUCUAUUAUUGGGGGUUGCGGUUCCGAUUUGAAGAUUGUUUGGUAUUUUUCACUUGGAUUUAGGGGUUCGGUUUUGAUGUUGGUAUAUAUUGGUACUUGUUACUAAUUCAUUGUACAAAUAGGAAAAUAAACUAUUUUUGGUGGUUGCGGCUCCGAUUUGGAGAUUAAUUGGUGUUUUUUACUUUGAUUUAGGGUUUCGGUUUUGAUUUUGGUAUAUCUUGGUACCUGCUACUAAUUUGUGAUACACAGAUAUGUAUUGUUUAGAUGGGUGUGGUACAAAAUAAUGUUGUUUUUAGAUCGGUUAGUGUUGAGUAUUUUUUUCAAUUACAGUGGUUUUGUGAAAUUAUUUAUACUUGAAGGUUUGUAGUGGUACUCUGUUAUGUACCAAGGAAGGAGGGGUGGUACUCGAUCCUUCAUAGUGGAUCCAUAUGAGUGAAAGCUCAGACAAUACCAGCGAUUGUUGGCUUGUUUUUAUUUGUUUAUGAUGUGAUGUUAUUUUGCCUAAAAUGCUCUUGUUUAUUUACAAGAGGGUGCAUGUGUCAUUGGGAAAAAAUUGACUGUUCAAACAAGGUGUAGUCCAACUAGGUUGUUGAGAAUUGUAGGAGCAAAUAGUGUACCUGCUGGAGGGCUUUCCAUGGUUGAGCCUCUAUAAUUUGGAGGAGUGAUUGGGUUGAAGAUCGACAAGAUGAACAGUGACUUCAAUAGAUGGGCGAUAGAGGCAUAUGAUGCAGAGACGGGGACCUAUGAAUUCUUCAAAGGUGAUUCAUUUCCUGUCACGAGGAAGAUGUUCAUAGGGUGUAUGGGUUACCAAGGGGGUCGGAGAUUUGUGGAUACAACAACGGGAAAUCACAAAGAUGGCUAAAGAUUGUGGUCUUGCAACAAGAAAGAAUGUGAAAUACACUAUGCCAAUUGUAGAUUUAGAGGGAAGACUUGAAUGUGAUGAUGAAUUGCAUUGUUGGAGAAAAUUGUUGAUUACGUACAUUAUUGGUGUACUUCUCUGUCCUAUUGCCAUCUUUCCGUAAGCACAGAACUAAAAUGUAUAAUUACAAUUGGAAUGGAGAUGCCUUCUUUCUCUUUUUCUCUAGUAAACAACCAAUUCAAUACCUCAUUG
rnacentral:lncRNA from 1 species